rfam:Colletotrichum sublineola strain TX430BB Scaffolds1391.1, whole genome shotgun sequence.
GUCUCUGUGGCUCAGUUGGUAGAGCGUUGGUCUCAUAUCCACUUCGUUGAAAUGACUCUGGAACACAUUCCAAGGACAUCCAAAGGUCGCAAGUUCGAGCCUUGCCAGGGACA